rnacentral:rRNA from 1 species
GACGAACGCUGGCGGCGUGCUUAACACAUGCAAGUCGAACGAAGUGGCGAACGGGUGAGUAACGCGUAAUCAACCUGCCCUUCAGAGGGGGACAACAGUUGGAAACGACUGCUAAUACCGCAUACUGAAGGAGGGGAUUGCGUCUGAUUAGCUAGUUGGAGGGGUAACGGCCCACCAAGGCGAUGAUCAGUAGGCCGUUCUGGAGGAUGAACGGGCAAAAUGGGACUUAGACCCUGCCCAGACCUCUACGGGAAGGAGCAGUGGGGGAUCUUCCGCAAUGGACGAAAGUCUGACGGAGCAACGCCGCGUGAGUGAUGACGGCCUUCGGGUUGUAAAGCUCUGUUAAUCGGGACGCGGUACCGGAAUAGAAAGCCACGGCUAACUACGCGCCAGCCGCCGCGGUAAUUC